rnacentral:miRNA from 1 species
CUCAAUAAAUGUUGGUUGAAUU